rnacentral:rRNA from 1 species
UGGUGGAGUGAUUUGUCUGGUUAAUUCCGAUAACGAACGAGACUCUGUCCUGCUAACUAGGUUGUGUUUUCUCGGGUUGGUUUUCUGGUGUUCCUUCUCGGGGCGCCGGCCCAAUCCACUUGUGAACACAACACUCUUCUUAGAGGGACUGGCGGCUGUUAGCCGCACGAGAUAGAGCAAUAACA